rnacentral:misc_RNA from 1 species
ACUUUUUGUUCUUCAAUUUCAAGCUACUGUUGUUCUUCUUCUUGUUGCUGCCUUGCCUUUUCAAGAUUUAUUGCCUUUAGAUUUUCAAUACUUGUUAUUAUAUCCAACUGUUCUCUCAAUUGAAUCAAUUGUGCUUCUUUCCAUGCUUCAAAACAUUCAACUUCUUCAUCCUUAACUUCUUGGUUAGCCUGUUGACCAUGAUACUUAUUCUUACAUUCUUCAAGUGCUCUCUCCCUAUAUUGUAAGAUUAUUUGCAUAUUUUGAUACUCAUCAAAUAAACUGUAAGGAGCAAAAUGAGGACCACCAUGUAAAUAUAUCAAAUAAGAUAUUUCAUCAAGCUGUUCAUAAUAGUUUUCGAUUUUAGCUUAUAUUCUUUGAAUUGUAUCCCAUAACUCAU